rnacentral:rRNA from 1 species
UACGUAGGUGGCAAGCGUUGUCCGGAAUUAUUGGGCGUAAAGCGCGCGCAGGCGGUUCUUUAAGUCUGAUGUGAAAGCCCACGGCUCAACCGUGGAGGGUCAUUGGAAACUGGAGAACUUGAGUACAGAAGAGGAAAGCGGAAUUCCACGUGUAGCGGUGAAAUGCGUAGAUAUCGGAAGGAACACCAGUGGCGAAAGCGGCUUCCUGGUCCAGCAUCGACGUUCAGGCACGAAAGCGUGGGGAGCAAACAGG